UCGUGACCUGCGGAAGGAUCAUUAGUGAAUAUAGGACGUCCAACUUAACUUGGAGUCCGAACUCUCACUUUCUAACCCUGUGCACUUGUUUGGGAUAGUAACUCUCGCAAGUGAGCGAACUCCUAUUCACUUAUAAACACAAAGUCUAUGAAUGUAUUAAAUUUUAUAACAAAAUAAAACUUUCAACAACGGAUCUCUUGGCUCUCGCAUCGAUGAAGAACGCAGCGAAAUGCGAUAAGUAAUGUGAAUUGCAGAAUUCAGUGAAUCAUCGAAUCUUUGAACGCACCUUGCGCUCCAUGGUAUUCCGUGGAGCAUGCCUGUUUGAGUGUCAUGAAUACUUCAACCCUCCUCUUUCUUAAUGAUUGAAGAGGUGUUUGGUUUCUGAGCGCUGCUGGCCUUUACGGUCUAGCUCGUUCGUAAUGCAUUAGCAUCCGCAAUCGAACUUCGGAUUGACUUGGCGUAAUAGACUAUUCGCUGAGGAAUUCUAGUCUUCGGAUUAGAGCCGGGUUGGGUUAAAGGAAGCUUCUAAUCAGAAUGUCUACAUUUUAAGAUUAGAUCUCAAUCAGUAGGACUACCCGCUGAACUUAAGCAUAUACGGGGGGGAGAGAGAAGAGAAGAAA
rnacentral:rRNA from 1 species